rnacentral:rRNA from 1 species
UGGUUAAAAAGCUCGUAGUUGGAUCUCAACAGCCUUGAAGCGGUUAACUUUGUAGUUUUACUGCUUUAUAGGCUGUGCUUUUGCUGGAGGUUUAGGGGUGCUCUUGAUCGAGUGUCUCUGGAUGCCAGCAGGUUUACUUUGAAAAAAUUAGAGUGCUCAAAGCAGGCUAAAAUGCCUGAAUAUUCGUGCAUGGAAUAAUAGAAUAGGAUGUCGAUCCUAUUUUGUUGGUUUUCGGGACUCGACAUAAUGAUAAAUAGGGACAGUCGGGGGCAUUUGUAUUCAAACGACAGAGGUGAAAUUCUUGGACCGUUUGAAGACAAACUACUGCGAAAGCAUUUGCCAAGAAUGUUUUCAUUAAUCAAGAACGAAAGUUAGAGGUUCGAAGGCGAUUAAAUACCGCCCUAGUUCUAACCAUAAACGAUGCCAGCUAGCGAUCUGCCUGCGUUUUUACUGUAGACUGGGCAGGAAGCUUCCGGGAAACCAAAGCAUUUGGGUUCCAGGGGAAGUAUGGUUGCAAAGCUGAAACUUAAAGGAAUUGACGGAAGGGCACCACCAGGAGUGGAGCCUGUGGCUUAAUU